GUACACUCCUACGGGAGGCAGCAGUGGGGAAUUUUGGACAAUGGGCGAAAGCCUGAUCCAGCAAUGCCGCGUGAGUGAAGAAGGCCUUCGGGUUGUAAAGCUCUUUUGUCAGGGAAGAAACGGUGAGAGCUAAUAUCUCUUGCUAAUGACGGUACCUGAAGAAUAAGCACCGGCUAACUACGUGCCAGCAGCCGCGGUAAUACGUAGGGUGCAAGCGUUAAUCGGAAUCACUGGGCGUAAAGCGUGCGCAGGCGGUUUUGUAAGUCUGAUGUGAAAUCCCCGGGCUCAACCUGGGAAUUGCAUUGGAGACUGCAAGGCUAGAAUCUGGCAGAGGGGGGUAGAAUUCCACGUGUAGCAGUGAAAUGCGUAGAUAUGUGGAGGAACACCGAUGGCGAAGGCAGCCCCCUGGGUCAAGAUUGACGCUCAUGCACGAAAGCGUGGGGAGCAAACAGGAUUAGAAACCCGAGUAGUCCCA
rnacentral:rRNA from 1 species